AUGGGCCUGGAGCACCGGGUUGGGCAGACCCUGCAGCUUGGGGCCCUGGAGGACCGGGUUGGAGAGACCCUGCAGGAUGGGGCCAUGGAGGGUGGGGUCUGGUUCCACCCAGCGGGCCUGGGUUUCGUGGCCCUGGUUCUUGGGGCCCUGUGUUUGGUGGCUUCUUCAGAUCCUGCUACUAUCUCCUCUGCUGCUGCUGCUGCUGCUGCUGCCUGCUCUAAGAUUGCUAUGGCCCUCUCCUUGGACAUCCGGGCACAGGCAGCCUGCCACCCCCUUUCUUAUAGCUUGGCGAGCAGUCGACCAUAUCCACCGCGAAAAACAAUGUGCUGGGUCAGGAAUCCCUGGGCCAAGUAUUCGCUGAAGAACCCAUGGGAGUUUCCCUUGUUACUAUGUAAACACUAUUGA
rnacentral:rRNA from 1 species